GGGUGAGUUCUCCGAGCGGUCGAAGGGGAGUGACUCUUAAUCACUUGGACGAAAGUCCCACCGUGGGUUCGAAUCCCACCUCACCCUCCA
rnacentral:tRNA from 1 species